rnacentral:misc_RNA from 1 species
GAUGAAGAACGUAGCAAAAUGCGAUACUUGGUGUGAAUUGCAGAAUCCCGUGAACCAUCGAGUUUUUGAACGCAAGUUGCGCCCGAAGCCUUUUGGCCGAGGGCACGUCUGCCUGGGCGUCACGCAUCGCGUCGCCCCCCACAAUUCUCCGUAAAGGGAACAUGUGUUUUGGGGGCGGAUAUUGGUCUCCCGUGCUCAUGGCGUGGUUGGCCGAAAUAGGAGUCCUUUCGAUGGACGCACGAACUAGUGGUGGUCGUAAAUACCCUCGUCUUUUGUUUCGUGCUGUUGCUCGCAAGGUAAACUCUUUAAAAACCCCAAUGUGUCGUCUCUUGACGACGCUUCGACCGCGACCCCAGGUCAGGCGGGACUACCCGCUGAGUUUAAGCAUAUCAAUAAGCGGAGGA